rnacentral:rRNA from 1 species
GACGAACGCUGGCGGCGCGCUUAACACAUGCAAGUCGAACGGGAAGGCCCUUCGUGGCACUCUAGUGGCGAACGCGUGAGUAAGACUUGGGUGAGCUGCCCCUCACUUUGGGAUGAGCCCGGCAAAUUGGGACGAAUACUGAUUCGGACUACGCCCUCCAUGGUGCGUGGAGGAAAGGUAUUGCGGUGUGGGCUGGGUCCGCGGCCUAUCAGCCUGUUGGUGGGGUUGUGGCCGACAAAGGCGACGACGGGUAGCCGGCCUGAGAGGGUGCCCGGCCCCACUGGGACUGAGAUACGGCCCAGACUCCUACGGGAGGCAGCAGUGGGGAAUAUUGCACAAUGGGCGCAAGCCUGAUGCAGCGACGCCGCGUGAGGGAUGACGGCCUUCGGGUUGUAAACCUCUUUCAAUAGGGACGAAGCGCAAGUGACGGUACCUAUAGAAGAAGCACCGGCCAACUACGUG